AGGUGCAAAGGGCAGCCUGAUGCUGGAGGGACACGGGUCACGCAGCAGCCCCAGAUUUCCCUCCCUUUGUAGUUGACUGAAGCAGCUGCAGCCACAGCAGUUGGCAAGAAAUGGAAUGGUUCCUCUUUUUCCUGUUUCCUCAAUAUUUUCCUAAAAGACACAAACUUACAGAAGUUGUUUCUGAAAGUGGAGCUGACUGGAAAAGUACCCAGUUUUGUUUCUAGAUAUCUAUUUGUAGAAUUUUCCAAAGUCAGUCCGUCAGAGACAGGGGAUUCCAUCUCAAUCUACCUUGAAAGGCGAUUGAAUUAAACAAGCAUUUGAGGUAAAGCUGCAUCAGGCAUGAAUCCAGUUCUCAAGGAGCUCACUGCCAAGCUCAGCAGGUGAGACAGAGCACGAGGGGAAAAGGCAUUGGUGCACAAGAACAAGAACCACGGGACCAGUAACUGGGGUCUUGUCCUGAGAGGCUGUGAGAAUCACUCCACUGCUUUUUCUUCAGGGUAACUUCAUCUCCCCACAUCAUGAUUUACUGUAAGGAUUGUGGGAAAUGCUUUGCCCCCUUUGGAUGAAAGGUGUAUUAUAUAAGGUCUGUAAAAGGUUUUUGGAUACGUUUAGGAAAAAAUAAGUGAUAACAAUGAUAGUAAUAUCUAGCAUUUAUUGAAUGCUUAUUAUACGCCUGGCAUUAAACUAAA